UACGUAGGGGGCAAGCGUUGUCCGGAUUUAUUGGGCGUAAAGAGCGUGUAGGCGGCCAGACAGGUCCGUUGUGAAAACUCGAGGCUCAACCUCGAGACGCCGAUGGAAACCGUCUGGCUAGAGUCCGGAAGAGGAGAGUGGAAUUCCUGGUGUAGCGGUGAAAUGCGCAGAUAUCAGGAGGAACACCAAUUGCGAAGGCAGCUCGCUGGGACGUUACUGACGCUGAGACGCGAAAGCGUGGGGAGCAAACAGG
rnacentral:rRNA from 1 species